AGCCUUGAUGUGUAGGAUAGGUGGGAGGCUUUGAAGUGUGGACGCCAGUCUGCAUGGAGCCGACCUUGAAAUACCACCCUUUAAUGUUUGAUGUUCUAACGUUGGCCCCUAAUCGGGGUUGCGGACAGUGUCUGGUGGGUAGUUUGACUGGGGCGGUCUCCUCCUAAAGAGUAACGGAGGAGCACGAAGGUUGGCUAAUCCUGGUCGGACAUCAGGAGGUUAGUGCAAUGGCAUAAGCCAGCUUGACUGCGAGCGUGACGGCGCGAGCAGGUGCGAAAGCAGGUCAUAGUGAUCCGGUGGUUCUGAAUGGAAGGGCCAUCGCUCAACGGAUAAAAGGUACUCCGGGGAUAACAGGCUGAUACCGCCCAAGAGUUCAUAUCGACGGCGGUGUUUGGCACCUCGAUGUCGGCUCAUCACAUCCUGGGGCUGAAGUAGGUCCCAAGGGUAUGGCUGUUCGCCAUUUAAAGUGGUACGCGAGCUGGGUUUAGAACGUCGUGAGACAGUUCGGUCCCUAUCUGCCGUGGGCGCUGGAGAACUGAGGGGGGCUGCUCCUAGUACGAGAGGACCGGAGUGGACGCAUCACUGGUGUUCGGGUUGUCAUGCCAAUGGCACUGCCCGGUAGCUAAAUGCGGAAGAGAUAAGUGCUGAAAGCAUCUAAGCACGAAACUUGCCCCGAGAUGAGUUCUCCCUGACUCCUUGAGAGUCCUGAAGGAACGUUGAAGACGACGACGUUGAUAGGCCGGGUGUGUAAGCGCAGCGAUGCGUUGAGCUAACCGGUACUAAUGAACCGUGAGGCUUAACCUU
rnacentral:rRNA from 1 species